rnacentral:lncRNA from 1 species
GGCGUGAGGUGUAGGGUCUAGGGUUUCAACUCUAGAUUUUGUGAGAAGAAAAAUACAAGAGUGAGUCUUGUUCAAUCUCCCACACCACCACCUCCUUGUAAAGCUUUAUCUUCUAAUUUGAAGGAGUCUAGGAGAUUCAAAGAAAGGAGCUUAGAUCAGCCAUCUAGAGCCUUCGAUGGGAGCUAGCACUCCCACGAAGGAAGAUCCGAUAAGGGCUUCGAGUGGACGAUCUGUAGAGACCGGACGACCUGUGCGGUUGCUCAACAUCAGCGAGAGCUUCAUACCAUGCCUACCAGUAGUAAAGAUCAUCGAUUCAUAAAAAGAUGAUGAGUUCUGA